AUUGAACGCUGGCGGCAGGCCUAACACAUGCAAGUCGAACGAGUGGCGGACGGGUGAGUAAUGUCUGGGAAACUGCCUUAUGGAGGGGGAUAACUACUGGAACCGGUAGCUAAUACCGCAUACCAUCGGAUGUGCCCAGAUGGGAUUAGCUAGUAGGUGGGGUAACGGCUCACCUAGGCGACGAUCCCUAGCUGGUCUGAGAGGAUGACCAGCAACACGGGAACGGAGACACGGUCCAGAGUCCUACGGGAGGCAGCAGUGGGGAACAUUGCACAAUGGGCGCAAGCCUGAUGCAGCCAUGCCGCGGGUAUGAAGAAGGCCUUCGGGUUGUAAAGUAGUUUCAGCGGGGAGGCGUUACCCGCAGAAGAAGCACCGGCUAACUCCGUGCCAGCAGCCGCGGUAAUAC
rnacentral:rRNA from 1 species